UAGAAUGAAGCUCGCUGGAUUGAGCUUUUAGCUGUUAACUAAAAUUUUACGGGAUCAAGGCCCGUCUUUCUAG
rnacentral:tRNA from 1 species